rnacentral:rRNA from 1 species
GACGAACGCUGGCGGCGUGCUUAACACAUGCAAGUCGAACGGAAAGGCCCUGCUGUUGUGGGGUGCUCGAGUGGCGAACGGGUGAGUAACACGUGAGUAACCUGCCCUUGACUUUGGGAUAACUUCAGGAAACUGGGGCUAAUACCGGAUAGGAGCUCCUGCUGCAUGGUGGGGGUUGGAAAGUUUCGGCGGUUGGGGAUGGACUCGCGGCUUAUCAGCUUGUUGGUGGGGUAGUGGCUUACCAAGGCCUUGACGGGUAGCCGGCCUGAGAGGGUGACCAGCCACAUUGGGACUGAGGUACGGCCCAGACGCCUACGGGAGGCAGCAGUGGGGAAUAUUGCACAGUGGGCGGAAGCCUGAUGCGGCAACGCCGCGUGCGGAAUGACGGCCUUCGGGUUGUAAACCGCUUUCGCCUGUGACGAAGCGUGAGUGACGGUAAUGGGUAAAGAAGCACCGGCUAACUACGUG